UACGGAGGGUGCAAGCGUUAUCCGGAUUCACUGGGUUUAAAGGGUGCGUAGGCGGGUAUAUAAGUCAGUGGUGAAAGCUCCGAGCUUAACUUGGAAACUGCCAUUGAUACUGUAUAUCUUGAAUGUCGUAGAGGUUAGCGGAAUGUUGCAUGUAGCGGUGAAAUGCUUAGAUAUGUUACAGAACACCAAUUGCGAAGGCAGCUAAACUAUGCGAUAAUUGACGCUGAGGCACGAAAGCGUGGGGAGCAAACAGG
rnacentral:rRNA from 1 species